rnacentral:misc_RNA from 1 species
AAGUCGUAACAAGGUUUCCGUAGGUGAACCUGCGGAAGGAUCAUUAUCGUGUUUUUUUCUUGCUUGUUCACGCAACAAGAAAACAAACGUAUUCACCCAAUCGUGAACUUGUUCUUUUUUUGGGAUGGGGGGGAAAGCGUCAGCUUUUCUUUUCCUGUUUCAAAAAUUAAUAUUUUUUUUACAACUUUAUUCACCACUUGUAUUCAAUGUGCUAAACUAAAAUCUUGGACGAAGAUCUUUUUUCGAAAAGAUUUUCUGAAAAGAAAGUACGAAAUUGCUGAACAACUCUUAGCAACGGAUAUCUUGGUUCUC